CCCACACCCCCCUCUUUCUCUUCUCCCUUUCUUCUCCCUUGGAGAUCCAACGCCCAAGCUUGGGCGUCCUCCAUCUUCAAUGCCUAAAGGUGUUUGGGCAUCCUCUAUUACUUAUUGAUUUUAGUUCCUUGUUGCUUCAUAAUCUAGAAAAGAAAAGAAAAAAAAAAGAGAAGAAGAAGAUCAAGGAAAGGAUCAAAAAGUUGAUCGUGAUCCAGACUUCGUUCACAUUCGCAGGC
rnacentral:lncRNA from 1 species